AAGUCGCAACAAGGUUUCCGUAGGUGAACCUGCGGAAGGAUCAUUAACACGUUCCACGUAUCAACCCGAGCACUCGUUUUUACUCUGAUUAAGCUCCAGUUUAGCACCCUACAAACCUCGCAUUUCAGUCCGCAAACGAUAAGGAAACAGACUGAUCAAGUCUGGCGGCUGGCGAUUUGGUAUAGUCUCCUCUGCAUGCAGAGGAGAAAGGGCUCUGGAUGUCUGGUCAUGCUUCUAUUCCUUGUCGAUCUUUCACAAUCAUUUACCCCAUUCCAAAACGUACUAAUUUAUAUUUCUUUCUUAAGAAAUUGGAACACUUUCUGCUGCUUUACCGCAGUCGGGAGCGCUCUAACCAACUAAGAAAAACCUUAAGAACAACUCUUAACAACGGAUAUCUUGGCUCUC
rnacentral:misc_RNA from 1 species